rnacentral:tRNA from 1 species
GGAUAUGUGCCCGAAAAUUAAGGGUCACUUUGAUAGAGUGAAAUACAAGAACUAAACCUCUUCAUAUCUU